rnacentral:lncRNA from 1 species
AGCCAGUUGUUUACUCACUGUACCUUUCUACCUGUAUGCUGCUCAUUUUGUCCAAAAGGAUAUUCUGAGAGGGAAGCUUUCCUGAAAGUAAAUCAAGCAUCCAGCUUUCUUGAUAAUGGGACAGUCAAUAAAUAUUGCAAGAGCCGAAAGUCAGCUUGCAAAUUGCAGUGUGAAUGACACAUAGCAUCAGCUGGACAGUUCACAGACUUCAUACCACACAGAGUACUUGAAAGCAUCUCCUGGAUGGCAGUGACAGGAAACUGAUCUGCAGACAGAAGUGCAUAAUGAAGACAAGCAAGAAAUGUUGACAGGAAUGAAUAAUUAAUUGCACUCAGAGGGUUGCUGCUUUGCUAGAAGAUUUACUCAGACUCUUAAUAUUUUGUUUCUCCACCCAUCCACAUUUUAUACUUUCCCACUAAGGAGCUCUUCUGGGGUAUCUGGCCAUUUCUAAGU